rnacentral:rRNA from 1 species
UACGUAGGGUGCAAGCGUUAUCCGGAAUUAUUGGGCGUAAAGAGCUCGUAGGCGGUUUGUCGCGUCUGCUGUGAAAACUGGAGGCUCAACCUCCAGCCUGCAGUGGGUACGGGCAGACUAGAGUGCGGUAGGGGAGAUUGGAAUUCCUGGUGUAGCGGUGGAAUGCGCAGAUAUCAGGAGGAACACCGGUGGCGAAGGCGGUGUCCUGGGCCGAUCCUGACGCUGAGGAGCGAAAGCUGGGGGAGCAAACAGG